rnacentral:miRNA from 1 species
AGUCUCGCUCUGUCAGUCAGGC